GAUGAACGCUGGCGGCGUGCCUAAUACAUGCAAGUCGAGCGAACAGACGAGGAGCUUGCUCCUCUGACGUUAGCGGCGGACGGGUGAGUAACACGUGGAUAACCUACCUAUAAGACUGGGAUAACUUCGGGAAACCGGAGCUAAUACCGGAUAAUAUAUUGAACCGCAUGGUUCAAUAGUGAAAGACGGUUUUGCUGUCACUUAUAGAUGGAUCCGCGCCGCAUUAGCUAGUUGGUAAGGUAACGGCUUACCAAGGCAACGAUGCGUAGCCGACCUGAGAGGGUGAUCGGCCACACUGGAACUGAGACACGGUCCAGACUCCUACGGGAGGCAGCAGUAGGGAAUCUUCAGCAAUGGGCGAAAGCCUGACGGAGCAACGCCGCGUGAGUGAUGAAGGUCUUCGGAUCGUAAAACUCUGUUAUUAGGGAAGAACAAAUGUGUAAGUAACUAUGCACGUCUUGACGGUACCUAAUCAGAAAGCCACGGCUAACUACGUA
rnacentral:rRNA from 1 species